rnacentral:lncRNA from 1 species
CUGCUGUGGAGUGAGAAGGAUGGGGGGCCUCUGAGUGGCCUUCUGGCUCUGGAACAGGGGGAUUCUCCUGCACACAAGCCGGAGGGCAGACAUCUGAUCCCCGCAGGUCACAUCUUCCAUCAUUCGGGCCCACAGGCCUGCUCCUCGUGGAUGCGUUGUUGAAGUGCCAGCCAGUUCCAAGCAGCUGUGUGGCCCGACCUGCCCUGAGGGUUGGCGACACCAACCAGCUCCAGGGGCAGCUCCAGGGCUUGGACAUAAAGGUGGAAAGUGAGACCUCCCACAUCCCUAGACUCCGAGUCUUCUGGAAGGAGGAGGUAAUGACUGCGACGGAGGAGAUGGCAGCCCACCUUGUUCUGGGGUUUCAGUGACCCCGUAAUGAGGGGGACACCAUCCCCUACUGGUUCUGGAGGGAAAGAGUGAACACAGACUGGCCCACAUUCAAAGAAUAGAAGCAAGACUAUCCUGGGAAAAUCUUGGGAAAUGAAACCUGCAUAUCAACAUAGAAUUGUGGCCAAUGGGGACCAGCAGCCUCAGCUUUGGAAAAACAGCUGGGGUGGGGGGCCUACUUUUAGUGGAGAUGAGUAGCUCAUUGUGUUUAAUAGAAAAAGGCCGAAAUGAGGAGACGUAGUUCCUUAGGGGACUAUUUUGAGGUGAUGGAAUUGAUCAUCUGGGCAAAUGGGUUUUUGCUUAGAGUUUGGCACCUGAACUCUUUAAAUCUGACACUGAGAAGUUAAAUAGACUCUACAGAGGUUUUCCCCUUCCUAUUAUCCGCUAUUAAUAGGAUAAUAUUACUCAUGAUUAUCCUAUUAUUUGAAAAAAAAGUAGCACCCCUAUCCUCCAGAGAAGUCAUUGAAACAAAGUGAAUAUUCAAGGACAAAGGGCUGACAUUCAAAGGGCUACAUUCAAAGGGCUACAUUCAAAAGUAUCAAUUGCCAGCUAUUGCCUAAGUGAUGGGCGAAUCAGUUACCACCGGCGGAGGAAGAGUUACCUUCCCAUUGGCAGAAAGGUAGGUUCUAGGAUUCAAAUCUAAUCCAACUGGGAAAGACUUAAUGGCAAGUGACCCAGUGAUGUUUGCAUUCAUUCCAAGGAGAGAGUGUGUCCUGGAGGAGAAAUCAGGACACCCCAAAACUGCAACUUGUAGGGGAUCCUAUUCCUCCUUAUGAGUCAUCCAGGAAGUAAGCGGGAUUUAACCGGAAAAGUCUGACCUAGGUUUGAUGUCCAGUUUCUGUUUACUAAGGCGAGGUCUUCGGUCUGUUGGCCUGUUUCUUAAUCUGCAUGGGAAGGUGGUGGGGGGUGAAGGGCAGCCAGGGGAGGAUUUGCAAAAUCUGAGGAGUUCCGAUGAGCUGUUGUAUUCAAAGUACUUCAAGUUCCUUGCUUAGGUUCUUUGGACCCACUGCAGGUGGUACUCUGCUCUCACUACUGAGCCUCUAGCCUCCUCACUUCCCUGGGGGGGCAAGAUGGCUGCAGACUGGAGAGAACUCUGAGAGAGCGGUUGGCCCAAUUUUCCUGGUUGGUAACAUCUUCCAAAACUAUAGUUCAGUAUUACAAUCAGGACACCAACAUUGACCCAGGCAAGAUAUAGGACAACUCCACCACCACAAGAAUCCCUUAUGUGGCACCUUUACAACCAGACUUGCUUCCCUCCCAGCCUCACCCUCUCUCUCCCGUCCCUGACAACUACUAAUCUAUUCUCUACCCAUGACUUUUGCCAUGUCAAGAAUAUUAUACAAGUGGGAAGCAUAAAAUACAUAACCUUUUGGGAAUGGCUUUCUUUUCACCCAGCACGACUCCCUGGAGAUUUAUCCAGGUCGUGGCACAUAUCAAUAGUGUCUUCCUUUUUAUUGCCGGUAGUACCAUCCCCUGCUGUGGGUGUGCUGCAUUGUGUUUAAACGUUUACCCAUUGAAGGACAUCUGGGUUAGUUCCAGAUUUUUGCUAUUAUGAAUAAAGCUUCUAUGAACACUGGUGUGCAGGUUUUGAAGGAACAUAAUUUUUGUUUCUCUGGGAUAAAUGCCCAGCAGUGGAAGUGCAAAUGCUGAAUGUAUGGUAGUUAUAUGUUUAGUUUUUUUAGGAAACUGCCAGAUCAUUUCCAAAGUGGUUGGAGAAUUUCAUAUUGCCAUAAGCAAUACAUGAUGGUUUAAACUUCUCCACAUCCUUGCCAUGAUUUGGUCCUGGCCACUAUUUCUUUUAACUAUUCUGAUGAGUGUGCAGUGAUAUUUCAUUGUGGUUUUAUUUUGUAUUCUCCUAAUGGAUAUGGAUGCUAACCAUCUUUUCAUGUGCUAUUUGCCAUCUGUAUAUCCUCACCAGUGAAAUGUCUGUUCACGUCUUUUGUAUAUUGUGUAAUUGAAUUGUUUGUUUCUUUUUUCACUGUUGAGUUUUGAGAACUGUUUAUAUAUUCUGAGAUUAGUCCUUUGUUAGACAUGUGGUUUGCAAAUAUUUUCUUUCAGUUCGUAUGUUAAUAGGGUGAUUUAUAGAGCUAAAGUUUUAAUUUUGAUGAUAUUUUAUCACUUCUUCCUUUUAUGGCUUGUGCUUUUGGUCUCAAGUCAAAGAAAUCUUUACUCAGUUUAAGAUCCCAAAGACUUCUCUUUUGUUUUACUUCUAUAAAUUUUAUUACGUUUAAGCCUGCAAUCUACUUUGAAUUUGCUAUAUAAGUUAUGAGGGUUAGGUAGAAAAAUUUGUAAGGACAAAAUUUAUUUUUUGUAUAUUUAUCUUGUAUCCUAUGAUCUUGCUGAACUCUAUUAUUAGAGAUUGAAGAUUUUUGGAGAUAAUUUGCUCCCCAUUUUCUGUUUUUAUUUUUGGCCUAUGAGUAUCCAAUUACUUCAUUAUCAUUUCUCACAAAGGCUACUCUUCCUCCAUUAAAUUACUCUUGUUCCUUUAGCAAAGGUCAGUUGGACAUAUUUGUGUGGCUCUGUUUCUGGGUUCUCUGUUUUGGUCCAUUGACCUAUGUGUCUAUCUUCUGUCAACACCACACAGCCUUAAUUGAUGUAGCUAUAUAAUGUCUUCAAACUGUGUUGACUCAUUCUUCCCACAGUAUAUUUUAUUUUCCAAAUUGUUUUAGCUGCUGUUCUUCUUUUGCCUUUUCAUAUACACUUUAGAAUGGUCUUUUCUCUCUCUACAAAACUCUUGUAGGGAUUUUGAUAAUGGUUGCAUUAUCUUUACUAUGUUGAAUCUUAAAAUCCAUGAACAUGGUAUAUAUAUCCAUUUAUUUGCAUUUGCUUUGUUUUUUUUUUUAUUAGUGUUUUGCAGUUUUUAGCCUGUACUCUCUAUAUUUUAUUUGUGCACAGGUAGCUCUUAUUUUUUGAGCAAUUGCAAAUAGCAUUGUAUUUUUAAUUUCAGUGUCUACAUGUUCAUUAAGAGUUUAUAGAAAUACAGUUGAUUAUUGAGUAUUUAUCUUACCUCUUGUACUAAACUAACUUAUGCUAGGAAUUUUGGCAAUAUUCCUUGGAAGUUUCUAAAUAGAUAAUCACAGUAUCCACAAAUAGGACUAGUUUUAUUUCUUCCUCUCUGAUCCCUGUGCCUUUUAUUUCUUCUUCUUGUCUUACUGCACUUGCUAGAUCUUCCAGUACUAUGUUGAAUAAGAGUGGUGAGAGUGGACUCCUGCCUUGUUUCCAAUCUUAGGGGAAAAGCACUCAGUAUUUUAACAUCAAGUGUAAUACUGGCUGCAGUAUUUUUUGCAGGUGUUCUUUAUCAAGCUGAAGAAGUUCUCUUUCCUCCUACUUUGUGAGAGGUUUAUUCAUUCAUUUAUUUUAACUGUGAAUGGUGUUAAAUUUUGUCAAAUGAUUUGUCUCCAUCAGGUGGUAUGACAUUGGACUUUUUUCUUCAGAUUGUUAUUAUGGAAAAUUGUAUUGAUUGAUUUAUUCAAAUGUUGAACCAGUCUUUCCUACUUGGAAUAAACCACAUGUGGCU